rnacentral:rRNA from 1 species
UACGAAGGGCCCAAGCGUUAUCCGGAUUUAUUGGGCUUAAAGGGUGCGUAGGCGGGCUAUUAAGUCAGUGGUGAAAGCCCCAAGCUUAACUUGGGAACUGCCAUUGAUACUGAUGGUCUUGAGUACAUUUGAGGUGGGCGGAAUGUGUCAUGUAGCGGUGAAAUGCUUAGAUAUGACACAGAACACCGAUUGCGAAGGCAGCUCACUAAACUGUAACUGACGCUGAGGCACGAAAGCGUGGGGAGCAAACAGG